GACGUAGGGCGCGAGCGUUGUCCGGAUUUAUUGGGCGUAAAGAGCUCGUAGGCGGCUUGUCGCGUCGACUGUGAAAUCCCGCGGCUCAACUGCGGGUCUGCAGUCGAUACGGGCAGGCUAGAGUUCGGUAGGGGAGACUGGAAUUCCUGGUGUAGCGGUGAAAUGCGCAGAUAUCAGGAGGAACACCGGUGGCGAAGGCGGGUCUCUGGGCCAACACUGACGCUCAUGCACGAAAGCGUGGGGAGCAAACAGG
rnacentral:rRNA from 1 species